rnacentral:lncRNA from 1 species
ACACGCAAGUGUAGGAAGGUGUUUUGUGCUCUUUGGGUCAGCUAGACAACAAGGAAUAAAGAGGUGCAUGACGGGAUUAAAAAAACUUCUUAUGAAUUAGCUUAUUUCAUACAGGCAUAUCUUAAGGAAAUAGACUAUAUUGAUAGACAUUUACUUGGUCAAAAAAUUGUGGCAAAAAGAUGGUGCCCACCAAAUCUAGAUUUUAUUAAAUAAAUUUUGAUAUAGGUUUCCAAAAUCAUACAAGAGAAUCAUGUUCAGGUUUAGUAUGUAGGAAUUUAGAUGGGAAAACUCUAGGUUCAAAACUCAUACUUAAUAGAUACAUAACUUCUCUUUUUGCAGCUGAAGCACUGACCUAUCUCCAGGCAGUGCAAAUAGGACUCGAUCUGGGAUUUCGAAGAACGGUAAUUGUUGGGGAUGCCCGUUUGAUUACCUAAAAACUGCAAAUAAAACAAGAGGAUAGAUCUGCUAUAAGCACCUACAUCAAGGAUUCGAAGGAACUGAGUAAAAGGUUCAAUAGAUGUAGUUUUGAACAUACAUCAAGGUAAGCAAAUGGUUUAGUACAUCUCCUUGCUACAGAAGGAAUAAGAUGGGAGAAUACUCAUCUAGAGGGAGGGAUUCUUGAUUUUGUGGCUGACAAACAGAGCGCGAUAGAAAGCAAUAAGGAGAGCCGGCUAAGAGAAAAAGAGAUGCCGAAAAAGUUGUGAUGAAGAUUGGUAGAGUCUUGUUUUGGUCACCUUUGAUCUAUGUUUUCUUUGAAAGAGGCAAUUUGGUUCCCGAAUGGCUUGUUUGUUUCUAAAAUGUUUCUUUACAAAAUGGGAGGUGAAAAUUCAUUCUUUAGACUGGACAGUGUGGC